rnacentral:rRNA from 1 species
GGUAACUGGAAUUCCUGGUGUAGCGGUGAAAUGCGCAGAUAUCAGGAGGAACACCGAUGGCGAAGGCAGGUCUCUGGGCAGUUACUGACGCUGAGGAGCGAAAGCAUGGGUAGCGAACAGGAUUAGAUA